CGGAGGAGUUGGGAACCGAAAACAAGUCACGACCCAAUUAAGUGAUCCUAGAAUCUGAAACAGCGCCAGCUGCCAUGGAACAAAGCCGUUUUCAGGGACUGGAGGGCCCCCUAAGGAAAUCAGGGCAAAGCAGAUUCCUUGCGGGAGUGUACAGAUGUUAGAUCUUAUGGAAGCAUGCGUGUACGGCACCCAGGCCAGUAUAUGAGACUAAAAAGAAGAAUGUAGGAAGAAGAGGAUACAAAAUGCAAAGGAUGACAGCAGAGCAAGGAAAUCAGAGGACUGAGGCAUGUGAAGGAUUCAGUGCACUGUUGCUGGCUUGAAGAUAACAGGGACCACAUUAGAGACCUGAGCCUGGCUUCCAGGUCCCUAAGUGAUACUUCUUACACCCAUAAGAAGAAAGUGGAGA